rnacentral:rRNA from 1 species
CAGUCGCCACGGGAAUACGUAGGGUGCAAGCGUUAAUCGGAAUUACUGGGCGUAAAGCGUGCGCAGGCGGUUAUAUAAGACAGAUGUGAAAUCCCCGGGCUCAACCUGGGAACUGCAUUUGUGACUGUAUAGCUAGAGUACGGCAGAGGGGGAUGGAAUUCCGCGUGUAGCAGUGAAAUGCGUAGAUAUGCGGAGGAACACCGACGGCGAAGGCAAUCCCCUGGGCCUGUACUGACGCUCAUGCACGAAAGCGUGGGGAGCAAACAGGAUUAGAUACCCCCGUAGUCCCUGUCUCUUAUAA